ensembl:misc_RNA Metazoa_SRP Metazoan signal recognition particle RNA
GCCAGGUGUGGUGGCGGGUACCUGUAAUCCCAGCUACUUGGGAGGCUGAGGCAGGAGAAUAGCUUGAGCCCAGGAGGGAGAGGUUGCAGUGGGCCAAGGUCAUACACUGCACUCUAGCCUGGGCAACAGAGCAAGACUCCGUCUCUA